GUUGAACGCUGGCGGCACGCUUAACACAUGCAAGUCGAACGAGUUGCGGACGGUUGAGUACUGUCUGGUAAACUGCCUGAUGGUGGGCGACCAUUGCUAGUCACGGUAGCUCAUACCGCAUACCAUCAGAUGUGCCCCGAUGGGAUUAGCUAGUGGGUGAGGUAACGGCUCACCUAGGCGACGAUCCCUAGCUGGUCUGAGAGGAUGACCAGCCACACUGGAACUGAGAAACGGUCCAGACUCCUACGGGAGGCAGCAGUGGGGAAUAUUGCACAAUGGGGGGAACCCUGAUGCAGCCAUGCCGCGUGUAUGAAGAAGGCCUUCGGGUUGUAAAGUACUUUCAGCGGGGAGGCGUUACCCGCAGAAGAAGCACCGGCUAACUCCGUGCCAGCAGCCGCGGUAAUAC
rnacentral:rRNA from 1 species